GACGAACGCUGGCGGCGUGCUUAACACAUGCAAGUCGAACGGAAAGGCCCCUUUGGGGGUCCUCGAGUGGCGAACGGGUGAGUAACACGUGAGUAACCUGCCCUUGACUUCGGGAUAACUUCAGGAAACUGGGGCUAAUACCGGAUAGGAAUCCUUGCUGCAUGGUGGGGGUUGGAAAGCUUCGGCGGUUUUGGAUGGACUCGCGGCUUAUCAGCUUGUUGGUGGGGUAGUGGCUUACCAAGGCUUUGACGGGUAGCCGGCCUGAGAGGGCGACCGGCCACAUUGGGACUGAGGUACGGCCCAGACUCCUACGGGAGGCAGCAGUGGGGAAUAUUGCACAAUGGGCGGAAGCCUGAUGCAGCAACGCCGCGUGCGGGAUGACGGCCUUCGGGUUGUAAACCGCUUUCAGCAGGGGCGAAGCUUGUGGUGACGGUACCUGCAGAAGAAGCACCGGCUAACUACGUG
rnacentral:rRNA from 1 species